rnacentral:rRNA from 1 species
AAGCGUUUUCUUGGGCUCGCGGCCGGUAGAAGUUCUUUGGAACAGGACAUCAUAGAGGGUGACAAUCCCGUCCGUGACCGGUCGUGCGUUCAUCUACGAUACGCUUUCAAAGAGUCGAGUUGUUUGGGAUUGCAGCUCCAAAUGGGUGGUAAACAUCACCUAAGGCUAAAUAUUGGCGAGAGACCGAUAGCGAACAAGUACCGUGAGGGAAAGAUGAAAAGAACUUUGAAAAGAGAGUUAAACAGUACGUGAAAUUGUUGAAAGGGAAACGAUUGAAGUCAGUCGUGCUGGCGCGAAAUCAACCAUCUCGUCUUGAGGUCGCAUGGCGCGACGAGCCUCAAAACCGUCACGAAGCGUGAACUCUUGACGAAAAGGUGCACUUUCGUGUCCGCUGGUUAACAUCAAUUUCGAUCGUCAUAAAAAGGCUGGAGGGAUGUGGCUCCUUCGGGAGUGUUAUAACCUUUAGCGGAAUGUGGUGUUCGGGAUUGAGGAUUGCAACGAAUACCUUCAGGGCUGUUCCACCUGGCUUCUCAUUGGUAUCCUGGUGACGACAGCUUGC